CUUGACCUCACUUCCGGCUCCGCCCAGAAAGCGCAGGCAUCUGCCCGGCUUGAGGUCUGUGGGAUUCCGGUGCCGCCCACCUUGCCGGUCCGCCGGCGCACUGGUGUGUCAAGGAAACACACCACCACCACCACCCCCCCCCCCCCAACCAAAUGAAAACUGCUGCCCACAAGAACCACAGGCCCUUGACUAGCUGAAACCAGAAAAUUGAUGAUACUUGAAACUUCAUCUUGAUGCCAACCGAUCUGAGAACUGUCCAUGGAUCAUGCCCUGCCCCUUGAAGACUAUAAAAUUCCUCACUACCCCCCUCCAGGGUGAAUCACACAGUCUUGAGGGCAUUAGCCCAGUGUGGCUCCUUUUGCCUGGCAAAGCAAUAAAAGCUACUCUUUUCUACUUCACCCAAAACUCUGUCUCCAAGUUUCUAUUACUAUUUGGCACCAAUGAACAGUGGCUGAGUUUCCGAGAGAGCCCGGGCAGACAGUUGGUAAGGGAGCUGACACUCCAGGUGAGCUGACGCAGAACAGGAGUGGACAGUUGUGGAGAGCAGACCUUGGAAGAACUGCAUACAUGGGUGCACAAAUAUACGCUCCGAGGAGAGCCAGGAGCGAAAGGCACACAGGGGACCUGCUUCAACCAGGAAGGAGAUGAGCCGAACAGCUUCCUUUAGUUAGGAAGGCUGAGAAAGUUCUGACCUGCCCACUUUCCUUGCCUGGAAAUUGUACCUCUCUCCACUUUCACGUGAGGUAAAGCAGUAGAUAAACUGAUCCCAGAGCACCUGCAUCACAGCAGCACCAAACAUGUGGCCUCUCUCUGCCUCUCCUGCCCCAAAGAUGGCCUAACUGAUGUCUUCAACUGACGCGACAUGCUGGUGUAACCAGAACAAGUCCACCCCCUCUCUCCCUGAGGAGGCCACCCAUCCUGGCUGAGGAACCAGCUGGAGGGAGCCCAGGCAUCCGGCCGGAGGGUCAGUCUCUGAUGUGGGACAGGGAUACAGACACCCCUCCCAGGCAGCUGGCAACAACCAUGAGAGGAGAACAGCAAGGAGGAAGAAGCCAUGCAGAGCCUGGAGUGUGGAGGCAGGGAAGGUAGAGAGGUCGGUUGAAGCUGCGCCUUGCAGAACAUGAC